rnacentral:rRNA from 1 species
UACGGGAGGCAGCAGUGGGGACUAUUGCACACUGGGCGCAAGCCUGAUGCAGCCAUGCCGCGUGUGUGAAGACGGCCUUCGGGUUGUCAAGCACUUUCAGCGGGGAGGAAGGCGUUAAGGUUAAUAACCUUGGCGAUUGACGUUACCCGCAGAAGAAGCACCGGCUAACUCCGUGCCAGCAGCCGCGGUAAUACGGAGGGUGCAAGCGUUAAUCGGAAUUACUGGGCGUAAAGCGCACGCAGGCGGUCUGUCAAGUCGGAUGUGAAAUCCCCGGGCUCAACCUGGGAACUGCAUUCGAAACUGGCAGGCUAGAGUCUUGUAGAGGGGGGUAGAAUUCCAGGUGUAGCGGUGAAAUGCGUAGAGAUCUGGAGGAAUACCGGUGGCGAAGGCGGCCCCCUGGACAAAGACUGACGCUCAGGUGCGAAAGCGUGGGGAGCAAACAGGAUUAGAUACCCGCGUAGUC